rnacentral:lncRNA from 1 species
UUUAAGCUCUCUGAGCUUCAGUUUCUUCCUCUGCAGAAUGGGGAUGAAAGUGGACUACUACCUCAUGGCAUGUUUUGAGGAUGAAAUGAGCUAAUAAACACAGUCUUCAGCCCUACAUUAGGAUGGCCUAAGGAAAACAAGAAGACUGAAUGAUAUUCCCUGCUGACUUAUAUAAGUUAUUAGUCUUCUAGAAGGAUCACAAGGAACCAGCAUCAAAGAAAUGGAAUCCAGCUAAUUCCCCCAAGAAACUGAAGUUUUCGGGACAUGACUUGUGAAAGGCAAACAUAAGCUGACAUCUUUUCACACUGAACAGCAAGAGCCAAAGUGUAUCCGAAAAGCCAUUGUCAAAACAAGGAGUGAGAACAGCUGGGGUCAAGACCUAAUGAAGGGCAUCACUCAGCCUCUUUGAGCCUCGGAUUCCUCAUUUGUAAAGUGGGCAUAAUAAUACCUCACAGGGUAGUUAUGAGGGCAAAUGAGAUAAUGGACACGAAGGCACCUGUACACUCCACGGUGCUAUCAGAAUAUUGACUAUUAGUGCUUUCAUCACGCGGCUCCAUCCAAACCCCUGCUUUCCCUCACUCCAGUAAGUGGUUGCCCUCCACCCACCCCCCAUCUUCUAAUAAUGUAGACUGGAAACCCAAGCAUCAUCUUUGUCCUCCUUUUCAUUCCCUGACCCCAGUUGGUCUUCAU